UCUAAAACAGAGGGUGAAAAGUUCCUGAACUUGCUUAGGGUUAAGGCUAUUUAUAGUACCCGUCUUGAAACACGGAUUAGGGAGUUUAUCUGUAGUGCGAGUCUUUGCACGUUAACUGUAAAGGCGUAGAGAAAGCAACUGGCGUUUGCAUGGCUACUGAGCAUUACUGAUAGGACCCGAAAGGUGGUGAACUUUGCCUGCACAGGUUGAAGUCAGGGGAAACUCUGAUGGAGGACCGUACGGGUUAUUGAUGUGCAAAUCAUUUUUCUGAUGUAGGUAAAGGUGCGAAAGACUCAUCGACCCACCUAAUAGCUGGUUUCUUCCGAAGUUUCCCUCAGGAUAGCUGUAAUGCAUUUAGUUAAGGGGAGUAGAGAUAUGGGUAGAGGUGCAGGGAGCCUUCGGGUUCUCAACUUAUUUCCAAACUUCGAACCUCCUUGUUAGGCAUUUACCUAACUGGAAAUGCUUAAAUGAAUUAGCGUUACAAGUGGGCUCUGACCGGUAAGCGGUCAUGGCGAAAUGGGAUGAACCAUACGUCUGAAUAAGGUGCCGAAAUGUACUAUCACUGAUACCAUAAAGGGAGUCCAUGUAUUUAGACAGCAGGUCGGUGCCCCUAAAAGCAGGUAUCCGCUAAAGAGUGUGUUAAAACUCACCUGCCGAAUACUAGGGCCCCGAAAAUGAAUGGCGCAUAUAGUACUACCGAUCUCAGACAUCAGUUCUAUUGAACUGAGAGUAGGGGGAUGUGGACAUUUUUGUGAAGGUGCAAUGUGAGUUGGACUGGAAGAAUGUCUAUUACAGAUCCUAAUUGAAGUAGCGAUUAUCCAGGCUUGUAUCCUGGGGGCUGAUGAGGAGUAG
rnacentral:ncRNA from 1 species